rnacentral:rRNA from 1 species
UUGGAGGGCAAGUCUGGUGCCAGCAGCCGCGGUAAUUCCAGCUCCAAUAGCGUAUAUUAAAGUUGUUGCAGUUAAAAAGCUCGUAGUUGAAUUUCGGGAUCAAUUUAUCGGUCGUGCCUAUGGUAUGAACUGGUACAAUUGGUUUCUCCCUUCUGACGAAGCAUGAUGUCAUUAAUUUGGUGUCGUGGGGAAUCAGGACUGUUACUUUGAAAAAAUUAGAGUGUUUAAAGCAAGCAUUAGCUUGAAUACAUUAGCAUGGAAUAAUGAAAUAGGACGUUUGAUCCUAUUUCGUUGGUUUCUAGGAUCGACGUAAUGAUUAAUAGGGAUAGUUGGGGGCAUUAGUAUUCAAUUGUCAGAGGUGAAAUUCUUGGAUUUAUUGAAGACUAACUACUGCGAAAGCAUUUGCCAAGGAUGUUUUCAUUAAUCAAGAACGAAAGUUAGGGGAUCGAAGACGAUCAGAUACCGUCGUAGUCUUAACCAUAAACUAUGCCGACUAGGGAUCGGAUGAUGUUAAUUUUUUAAUGACUCAUUCGGCGCCUUACGGGAAAC